GACGAACGCUGGCGGCGUGCUUAACACAUGCAAGUCGAGCGGAAAGGCCACUUCGGUGGUACUCGAGCGGCGAACGGGUGCGUAACACGUGAGUAAUCUGCCCCUCACUUUGGGAUAGCCACCGGAAACGGUGAUUAAUACCGGAUAUGACCAUAUGUCGCAUGGCGUGUGGUGGAAAGUUUUUCGGUGAGGGAUGUGCUCGCGGCCUAUCAGCUUGAUGGUGAGGUAAUGGCUCACCAUGGCUUCGACGGGUAGCCGGCCUGAGAGGGUGACCGGUCACACUGGGACUGAGACACGGCCCAGACUCCUACGGGAGGCAGCAGUGGGGAAUAUUGGACAAUGGGCGGAAGCCUGAUCCAGCAACGCCGCGUGAGGGAUGACGGCCUUCGGGUUGUAAACCUCUUUCAGUACCGACGAAGCGCAAGUGACGGUAGGUACAGAAGAAGCACCGGCCAACUACGUG
rnacentral:rRNA from 1 species